AGAAUCAACGCUGGCGGCGUGCCUAACACAUGCAAGUCGAUCGAGAAAGUGGAGCAAUCCAUGAGUAAAGAGGCGCACGGGUGAGUAACACGUGACUAACCUACCUUCGAGUGGGGAAUAACCUGGGAAACCCGGGCUAAUACCGCAUAAUACCUACGGGUCAAAGGAGCAAUUCGCUUGAAGAGGGGGUCGCGGCAGAUUAGUUAGUUGGCGGGGUAAUGGCCCACCAAGACGAUGAUCUGUA
rnacentral:rRNA from 1 species